rnacentral:rRNA from 1 species
GACGAACGCUGGCGGCGUGCCUAAUACAUGCAAGUCGAGCGAAUCUUGAGGUGCUUGCACCUCUUGGUUAGCGGCGGACGGGUGAGUAACACGUGGGCAACCUGCCUGUAAGACUGGGAUAACUUCGGGAAACCGGAGCUAAUACCGGAUAAUCCUUUUCCUCUCCUGAGGAAAAGCUGAAAGUCGGUUUCGGCUGACACUUACAGAUGGGCCCGCGGCGCAUUAGCUAGUUGGUGAGGUAACGGCUCACCAAGGCGACGAUGCGUAGCCGACCUGAGAGGGUGAUCGGCCACACUGGGACUGAGACACGGCCCAGACUCCUACGGGAGGCAGCAGUAGGGAAUCUUCCGCAAUGGACGAAAGUCUGACGGAGCAACGCCGCGUGAGCGAUGAAGGCCUUCGGGUCGUAAAGCUCUGUUGUUAGGGAAGAACAAGCAUCGGAGUAACUGCCGGUACCUUGACGGUACCUAACCAGAAAGCCACGGCUAACUACGUGCCAGCAGCCGCCGUAAAAC